rnacentral:rRNA from 1 species
UACAUAGGCGGAAAUCUAAGUCAGUGGUGAAAUCCCGCAGCUCAACUGUGGAACUGUCAUUGAUACUGGUUUUCUUGAAUAUAGUUGAGGUAGGCGGAAUGUGUAAUGUAGCGGUGAAAUGCUUAGAUAUUACACAGAACACCGAUUGCGAAGGCAGCUUACUAAACUAUGAUUGACGCUGAGGUACGAAAGCGUGGGGAGCGAACAGGAUUAGAUACACUGGUAGUCC